rnacentral:pre_miRNA from 1 species
AGCCUUCUGUAUCCGUGCUGAGAUUUCAUCACACACCAGACCACAAGGGCUGAUGAGACUUCCAAGA